AACGAACGCUGGCGGCAGGCUUAACACAUGCAAGUCGAACGGGCACCUUCGGGUGUCAGUGGCAGACGGGUGAGUAACGCGUGGGAACGUACCCUUCGGUUCGGAAUAACCCAGGGAAACUUGGGCUAACACCGGAUACGUCCGCAAGGAGAAAGAUUUAUCGCCGAAGGAUCGGCCCGCGUCGGAUUAGCUAGUUGGUGGGGUAAUGGCCCACCAAGGCGACGAUCCGUAGCUGGUCUGAGAGGAUGANCAGCCACACUGGGACUGAGACACGGCCCAGACUCCUACGGGAGGCAGCAGUGGGGAAUAUUGGACAAUGGGCGAAAGCCUGAUCCAGCCAUGCCGCGUGAGUGAAGAAGGCCUUAGGGUUGUAAAGCUCUUUCAGCGGGAAGAUAAUGACGGUACCGCAGAAGAAGUCCCGGCUAACUUCGUGCCAGCA
rnacentral:rRNA from 1 species